AUCCUGGCUCAGGAUGUACGCUAGCGGCAGGCUUAACACAUGCAAGUCGAGGGGUAUAAGUCUUCGGAUUUAGAGACCGGCGCACGGGUGCGUAACGCGUAUGCAAUCUACCUUUUACAGAGGGAUAGCCCAGAGAAAUUUGGAUUAAUACCUCAUAGCAUAGCAGCUUCGCAUGAAGCCACUAUUAAAGUCACAACGGUAAAAGAUGAGCAUGCGUCCCAUUAGCUAGUUGGUAAGGUAACGGCUUACCAAGGCUACGAUGGGUAGGGGUCCUGAGAGGGAGAUCCCCCACACUGGUACUGAGACACGGACCAGACUCCUACGGGAGGCAGCAGUGAGGAAUAUUGGACAAUGGGCGCAAGCCUGAUCCAGCCAUGCCGCGUGCAGGAUGACGGUCCUAUGGAUUGUAAACUGCUUUUAUACGAGAAGAAACACUC
rnacentral:rRNA from 1 species